GAUGAAGAACGUAGUGAAAUGCGAUAAGUAAUGUGAAUUGCAGAAUUCAGUGAAUCAUCGAAUCUUUGAACGCACCUUGCGCCCUUUGGCCAUUCCGAAGGGCAUGCCUGUUUGAGUAUCAUGAACACCUCAACUCUCAUGGCUUGCCAUGAUGAGCUUGGACUUUGGGGGUCUUGCUGGCCUGCGGCCAGCUCCUCUCAAAUGAAUUAGCUUUCCAGUGUUUGGUUGGCAUCACAGGUGUGAUAACUAUCUACGCUUGUGGUUUCCACCAGGUAACCUUCAGUAACAUGGGGGUUUGCUGGAGCUCAUAAAUGUCUCUCCUCAGUGGGGACAGCUCUUUGAACGUUUGAUCUCAAAUCAGGUAGGACUACCCGCUGAACUUAAGCAUAUCAAUAAGCGGAGGA
rnacentral:misc_RNA from 1 species